rnacentral:rRNA from 1 species
UACAGAGGUGCCAAGCGUUGUUCGGAUUUACUGGGCGUAAAGGGCGCGUAGGCGGCGCGGUAAGUCACUUGUGAAAUCUCUGAGCUUAACUCAGAACGGCCAAGUGAUACUGCAGUGCUAGAGUGUGGAAGGGGCAAUCGGAAUUCUUGGUGUAGCGGUGAAAUGCGUAGAUAUCAAGAGGAACACCUGAGGUGAAGACGGGUUGCUGGGCCAACACUGACGCUGAGGCGCGAAAGCCAGGGGAGCAAACGGG